CUGUCAGUCGAGGCUAGAGUCGACUAAAUAUGACACCCGGAGACGUGAGGAUUAAUGGGCUAUGGAUGACACAGGUGUGGCAGUCUUGCUUGAAGACGGAAUGUUGCCGUAGUGACACUUACGGCUCUGAACCGCAAGUGAGCGUGGAUUAUGGUACAUGCGUCAUACAGUGAGAUGGUUUGUUAAGUGGAUCCGAACUAAGAGAGCUGACCUGUUGAUGUAAUUGACGCGAUUCAGUAAAUAUUGGUUAGGACUUGCUGACCAUUCCUAAGUUGUUCCACCCGACCUUAAUAGUUGCUGAAUGUAAUCAGUUUCUG